rnacentral:rRNA from 1 species
AGAGUUUGAUCAUGGCUCAGGACGAACGCUGGCGGCGUGCCUAACACAUGCAAGUCGAACGGGGAUUUUGUUUCGGCAGAAUCCUAGUGGCGAACGGGUGAGUAACGCGUAGGCAACCUGCCCCCCGGAUUGGGACAACACCCCGAAAGGGGUGCUAAUACCGGAUACGAAGAUAGCACCGCAUGGUGUUAUUUUGAAAGAUGGCCUCUAUUUAUAAGCUAUCGCCGGGGGAUGGGCCUGCGUCCGAUUAGCUGGUUGGUGGGGUAACGGCCUACCAAGGCGACGAUCGGUAGCCGGUCUGAGAGGAUGAACGGCCACAUUGGGACUGAGACACGGCCCAGACUCCUACGGGAGGCAGCAGUGGGGAAUCUUCCGCAAUGGGCGAAAGCCUGACGGAGCAACGCCGCGUGGGUGAGGAAGUUCUUCGGAACGUAAAGCCCUGUUGUACAUGACGAACGUGCUUUCUAUCAACAACGGGAAGCAAUGACGGUAGUGUACGAGGAAGCCACGGCUAACUACGUGCCAGCAGCCGCGGUAAUACGUAGGUGGCAAGCGUUGUCCGGAAUUAUUGGGCGUAAAGCGCAUGUAGGCGGUGCCUUAAGUCUGUCGUGAAACUGCGGGGCCUAACCCCGUAUGGCGAUGGAAACUGUGGCACUUGAGUGCAGGAGAGGAAAGGGGAACUCCCAGUGUAGCGGUGAAAUGCGUAGAUAUUGGGAAGAACACCGGUGGCGAASGCGYCUCUCUGGACUGUGUCUGACGCUGAGAUGCGAAAGCCAGGGUAGCGAACGGGAUUAGAUACCCCGGUAGUCCUGGCCGUAAACGAUGGGUACUAGGUGUGGGAGGUAUCGACCCCUUCCGUGCCGGAGUUAACGCAAUAAGUACCCCGCCUGGGGAGUACGGCCGCAAGGCUUAAACUCAAAGGAAUUGACGGGGGCCCGCACAAGCGGUGGAGUAUGUGGUUUAAUUCGAUGAUACGCGAGGAACCUUACCUGGACUCAAAUGCAGUCUGACGGGCGUAGAAAUAUGCCUUUCCUUCGGGACAGACUGCAAGGUGCUGCAUGGCUGUCGUCAGCUCGUGCCGUGAGGUGUCAGGUUAAGUCCUAUAACGAGCGCAACCCCUACGUCCAGUUGCCAGCGGGUAAAGCCGGGGACUCUGGAGGGACUGCCGGCGCAAGCCGAGAGGAAGGUGGGGAUGACGUCAAAUCAGCACGGCCCUUACGUCCAGGGCGACACACGUGCUACAAUGGCCGGUACAGAGGGCAGCCACCCCGCGAGGGGGAGCGAAUCUCGAAAGCCGGUCUCAGUUCGGAUCGGAGUCUGCAACUCGACUCCGUGAAGUUGGAUUCGCUAGUAAUCGCGCAUCAGCCAUGGCGCGGUGAAUACGUUCCCGGGCCUUGUACACACCGCCCGUCAAGCCAUGAAAGUCCGGGGUACCUGAAGUCCGUGACCGAGAGGAGCGGCCUAGGGUAAAACGGGUAAUUGGGGCUAAGUCGUAACAAGGUAGCCGUA